GUGGGGUGAAUCAUGGUAACCUAACGAAUGGCAUGGCCUGACCGCAAUGUCAUCAAUUUCUGCCUAUCACUCGACGGUACGUAGUGGCGUACGUGUGCACCGGUACGAGAUAGGGUCGAUCGAGAGGGAGCAUGAGAAUCGCUCCCACAUCACGAAGCAGCAGGCGCGCAAAUACCCAAUCCGAUACGGGGAGGUAGUGACAAUAAAAUACUGAUACAGGGCUCUUUUGGGUCUUGUAAUUGGAAUGAGUACAAUUUAAAUCCCUUAACGAGGAACAAUUGGAGGGCAAGUCUGGUGGACAUCCAGUCCCGGAGGGAGGCACGAACGCCUCCCUCCUCGCUGGCGCCAGCAGUAGCAGACCCGUUCUGCUAGUCGAGCAUCCGCAACUUUCGGCGGGGGAUGCCGGCGAGACAACCUGGAUCGGGGGAGGCUACCGGGCGAUCAGCCCCAUGCUAAUCCCGAGCGGAGCACCGAGGGAGUGAUCCUUCGGCUGCCCGUGUAGAGCGCGCAAAGGUGUCGGUGGGCCUUCGGGCCUGCUUGAGGGACGUGCCGUCCCCUGUGAAAACAGGUCGUUGUCCGGAGUGCCGCCGCACAAAGGACCGCGAGCCGCUGGGCUUCCCGCCCGCGGUGGAUCCCCCAUUGAACGGCCAGCAGCCGCGGUAAUUCCAGCUCCAAUAGCGUAUAUUAAAGUUGUUGCAGUUAAAAAGCUCGUAGUUGAACCUUGGGCCUGGCUGGCCGGUCCGCCGCAAGGCGUGCACUGGUCCGGCCGGGCUCCUCCUUCUGGUGAACCCCAUGCCCUUCACUGGGCGUGGUGGGGACCCAGGACAUUUACUGUGAAAAAAUUAGAGUGUUCAAAGCAGGCCUUUGCUCGGAUACAUUAGCAUGGAAUAAUAAAAUAGGGCGGGCCCCCUAUUUUGUUGGUUUCUAGGGGAGCCGCAAUGAUUAAAAGGGUCAGUCAGGGGCAUCAGUAUUCAAUCGUCAGAGGUGAAAUUCUUGGAUCGAUUGAAGACUAACUACUGCGAAAGCAUUUGCCAGGGAUGUUUUCAUUAAUCAGGAACGAAAGUUAGGGGAUCGAAGACGAUCAGAUACCGUCGUAGUCUUAACCAUAAACUAUGCCGACUAGGGAUCGGAGGGGGUCUGCUAGAGCCCCCUUCGGCACCUUACGAGAAAUCAAAGUCUUGGAUCUGAGUAGAGCCAUUUUCCCCUCCCCAAUAUCGCAUGC
rnacentral:rRNA from 1 species